UUUUUUACUCUGGCAUGCCACCACAGUUCUCUAACUUUAUCUUUGCACUUCCUAGCAAUAAUACGAACUCAAUAUAUUUAAUUACAUACGUAUACGGGCAGCACUUCAAUCAAUUAAUCGUUACUCAAAUUUAUAUUUUCAUCCUAUCAUGAAACCAUCUUCAAUUAACUCACAUCUUAAUACAUUUUUACCAAAAUUACUUACAUUCAUUGCUUACAAAAUUCCUUAGAUUAUAUCACCGGCAACUUAUUUAUGAUGUCACGUGCCUACUUCAACCUUUCUAAAUAAUUUUUGCCCAAAUCCAUCUUAUAUUUCCACACCUAAUCUACAUAUAUGGCAACAACAAUUAUUCUCACUUUCACUUGAUUAUUUCCUAGUUUACACGCAUCGUUAUCUAUCUAACUUUCAAUACUUUGUUUCUCAAUCCUCCAUCCACAAUAUUCCCUUUUUAUUUCUUUCAAGCAACAUGCCAUACAAUCUUAACAAUUUUCAAGUAGCUUAGGCAAAUAAAUGCUUUCAACAACCAUAAUUCCUUACAAUAUUCAACUAACCGUAGGCUUUAAAACAUAGUGUUAAGCUUACCGUUUUCCUUUUCAUCUUUGAGUCCUUCAUGUACCCAUGGGUUUAUUGGCUUACAUGUUACCAAUUUUUCUCCAAUCAAGCCAAUCUUUGCUGCCACAAGAUAUUUCUCUAAGUCACUAACUCAUUUUCAAAGACUACUCAAGCCAAAAACAAGAAUUCUUAUCGUUCCUUGCUUGAAUCACCAAAACCAAGCUUUUUCUUCCUUUCUCUCUUUUUCUUUCUUCUCCUCCUAAGGUUUUGGUGUGCUUGAAAUAGGGGUUAAAGGUUGUAAAUUUAAUGCUCAAGAAGUUUGGAGAAGAAAAGACAAGAAAACAUGGAAAGGAAAGUGAAGAAAACUUGAUUUCAUGGUGGAUAAAGAGAAAAUGGCAUGGAAGCUUCAAGAAUGGUGUGGAGCAUGGAUGAAGAAGAAGAAAAAUCUGCUGGGGGAAAGGAUAAGGUCGGUCUUGGCCUAAAAAAAUCAGAGCCAAAGCUUCAUUCGAAAGCUUUGACCAAACUUCACAUAAAAUUACCGUUUUGCCUUUUUUUUUUCCUUCCUUUUUAAUUUAGUCCUCCCAACACUCAUUUAACUC
rnacentral:lncRNA from 1 species